rnacentral:rRNA from 1 species
UACAGAGGUCCCAAGCGUUGUUCGGAUUCACUGGGCGUAAAGGGUGCGUAGGUGGUGAGGUAAGUCGCAUGUGAAAGCUCCGAGCUCAACUCGGAAAUGGCAUUGGAAACUACCUUGCUCGAGGGUUUGAGGGGGGACUGGAAUACUUGGUGUAGCAGUGAAAUGCGUAGAUAUCAAGUAGAACACCAGUGGCGAAGGCGAGUCCCUGGAAAACUCCUGACACUGAGGCACGAAAGCUAGGGGAGCAAACAGG